rnacentral:rRNA from 1 species
ACGGAGGGUGCAAGCGUUAUCCGGAAUCAUUGGGUUUAAAGGGUCCGUAGGCGGUCUUAUAAGUCAGUGGUGAAAUCCCAUCGCUCAACGAUGGAACUGCCAUUGAUACUGUAAGACUUGAAUACUUAGGAAGUAACUAGAAUAUGUAGUGUAGCGGUGAAAUGCUUAGAUAUUACAUGGAAUACCAAUUGCGAAGGCAGGUUACUACUAAUGGAUUGACGCUGAUGGACGAAAGCGUGGGUAGCGAACAGGAUUAGAUACCCUGGUAGUCCACGCCGUAAACGAUGGAUACUAGCUGUUGGGAGCAAUCUCAGUGGCUAAGCGAAAGUGAUAAGUAUCCCACCUGGGGAGUACGUUCGCAAGAAUG